UCUCCGUAGGUGAACCUGCGGAGGGAUCAUUACAGAGUUCUCGCCCUCGCGGGUCGAUCUCCCACCCACUGGUAUCGUUACUGUGUUGCUUUGGCGGGCCACCGGGCCCCGCUCGGCCGCCCGCUCCGGCUUGCGCGGCCCCCCCAGUGGCCCCGCACACUAUGGAUGUUAGUGUCGUCUUAGUACUAUCUAAUAAUUAAAACUUUAAACAACGGAUCUCUUCUUUCUGGCAUCGAUAAAGAACCCAACCGAACGGGAAAACACACGACCUAACUUCAC
rnacentral:misc_RNA from 1 species